GUCACAGUUCUGUCGAGGGUGUUAUCUCUCUCUUAAAUCAAGAUGAAGUCUUCCUCUGCUGCCAGCCAAGCGGUCUCUGGGGACGGGGUGUCCAAAGAUCCCUGGCUGUUACAUCAUUAAUAUACAAAGCAGGACAAGACACGGCCCUGCAUAUUCCUACCAGAGGCACCCUAAUAUGAAAUUAGUUUUCUGAAGCAAAUUCAAAACGUCCGUCUCUUGAGAAAUGCACAUCAGUUUCUCGAGAGUUUUGGCAGAUAACUGUAGUGAACAGCCAGAGGCUCUGUGCAUUCCUUAGCAUAAGUGUAAAGGGAAAUGCAGAGUGGAUUCAAGUUAGGUGGGUCUUUCAUGCAGAUGAAUUUGUUCUGGUGUCCUCUGUGGUUUCUACUACGAGGAUCACAGACAUGAUGCUGAUGCUGUAAGGCUAAUUGGGGGAAUAUUCAGCAGUAUAAUAAAUUCUCUUUUGCAUGUUUUCUUUGAUUAAUAAAUGAUCGAGUUUGGCUUUUAAAAAAUAUAAUGAAGAAAUGCUUCAUAUUCCAUGUUAUCCUUCACUAAGUACACAGUCACAUUGUGUCGUCUUAGGACUUCAUCAAAUUUUUAACGUGUCUUCACAUUCUAAAGUACAUUGGGGCUACAUGUGAAGCUAAGGGACUGCAAUCGGAUCCUGUGCCUUUCCGUUGCAUUUACACAUAACUGGUGCAGUGUUGCACAGACAAGAUGCUUCUCACAAACUGCUCCCUGCAAGAAACAGGUGUCCUUGAGCAUGCUUCCUUUGUAGCUUCCCUGCUUAGUCUCUCUACACAUAUGGGAGGCUCCCUCUUUAAAACACAGCAACAGUGUGCAGCACUUUUUUAAUUCUUUGUGACAUCAAAAAUCAGAAAUUCCUAUUUGCCCUUUUUGGAUAUUCAUGGUGGAUUUAAUUGAGCUUUCUCUAAAAGAGAGAAUGCAAACUAAAUGAUGUCUCAGUGGAAACACCCAGGUGCACAACACUGAUAGCUCCAUGGCAAAGAUGCUUUCAUUGGAAGGGAAUUGGAUUAUUUCCCCCUGUAAAAUAUAUAUUUUUAAUGCUAAGGUCAUCCCUACUUGUGAGUUUUACUAGAAUUCUGGAGUGGGUCCAGCAAAAUAUUGGUUCCACUUAAUAUUUCAGCCUUGGAUUUAUUGUGCCAUGCUGUUUAUGGAGACGUUUUAUAGAACGUAAUUUUUUUCUAGUUGAGCGCAGGCUGACAAACAAGCACAAAGAUGCAUAAACACAAUAGCACAUGCAGGCACUGACCCACAAAAACACACAGCGACUACACACGCAUAAGCAUUAAAGUGGCCAUUCCUGUCCAGGGGAAACUAUAUUGGUAAUUUGGUCCCAUCAGAAUAAAGCCUAGGAGAAUUUUA